GAUGAACGCUAGCGGGAGGCCUAACACAUGCAAGCCGAGCGGUAUUUGUUCUUCGGAACAGAGAGAGCGGCGCACGGGUGCGGAACACGUGUGCAACCUGCCUUUAUCUGGGGGAUAGCCUUUCGAAAGGAAGAUUAAUACCCCAUAAUAUAUUGAGUGGCAUCACUUGAUAUUGAAAACUCCGGUGGAUAGAGAUGGGCACGCGCAAGAUUAGAUAGUUGGUGAGGUAACGGCUCACCAAGUCAAUGAUCUUUAGGGGGCCUGAGAGGGUGAUCCCCCACACUGGUACUGAGACACGGACCAGACUCCUACGGGAGGCAGCAGUGAGGAAUAUUGGACAAUGGAGUAGCGCCUGAUCCAGCCAUCCCGCGUGAAGGACGACGGCCCUAUGGGUUGUAAACUUCUUUUGUAUAGGGAUAAACCUACUCUCGUGAGAGUAGCUGAAGGUACUAUACGAAUAAGCACCGGCUAACUCCGUG
rnacentral:rRNA from 1 species